rnacentral:rRNA from 1 species
GAUGAACGCUGGCGGCGUGCCUAAUACAUGCAAGUCGAGCGAACGGACGAGAAGCUUGCUUCUCUGAUGUUAGCGGCGGACGGGUGAGUAACACGUGGAUAACCUACCUAUAAGACUGGGAUAACUUCGGGAAACCGGAGCUAAUACCGGAUAAUAUUUUGAACCGCAUGGUUCAAAAGUGAAAGACGGUCUUGCUGUCACUUAUAGAUGGAUCCGCGCUGCAUUAGCUAGUUGGUAAGGUAACGGCUUACCAAGGCAACGAUGCAUAGCCGACCUGAGAGGGUGAUCGGCCACACUGGAACUGAGACACGGUCCAGACUCCUACGGGAGGCAGCAGUAGGGAAUCUUCCGCAAUGGGCGAAAGCCUGACGAAGCAACGCCGCGUGAGUGAUGAAGGUCUUCGGAUCGUAAAACUCUGUUAUUAGGGAAGAACAUAUGUGUAAGUAACUGUGCACAUCUUGACGGUACCUAAUCAGAAAGCCACGGCUAACUACGUG